UAUUCAACUACAAAAACCUA
rnacentral:tRNA from 1 species